rnacentral:rRNA from 1 species
CGCCCGCUCAGAAACUUAAAGGAAUUGACGGGGGCCCCGCACAAGCGGAGGAGCAUGUGGUUUAAUUCGAUGAUACGCGAGGAACCUUUACCUGGGCUCGAACGUAAGAUGACUGUAGGUGAAAGCUUACAUCUCUUCGGAGCAUUUUACGAGGUGCUGCAUGGUUGUCGUCAGCUCGUGCCGUGAGGUGUCGGGUUAAGUCCCAUAACGAGCGCAACCCCUAUCAUUUAGUUGCCAUCAGGUCAAGCUGGGGACUCUAAUGAAACUGCCUACGCAAGUAGUGAGGAAGGUGGGGAUGACGUCAAAUCAGCACGGCCCUUACGUCCAGGGCUACACACGUGCUACAAUGGCCGAUACAGAGGGCAGCUACCUGGUGACAGGAUGCAAAUCUCCAAAGUCGGUCUCAGUUCGGAUCGGAGUCUGCAACCCGACUCCGUGAAGUUGGAUUCGCUAGUAAUCGCGCAUCAGCCAUGGCGCGGUGAAUACGUUCCCGGGCCUU